GCAGACUGAAAAUGGCCCCGGGUCUCUCGGUGGUCUGGGGUCAGAUAACUGCGCCUACACGACUGCGGUGCGUUAAGCUUAUCGCGUGUGUCUGUCAGUGGCAGCGUGAUAAAACCCAUGUGCCAACAUUU
ensembl:snoRNA